AUGAUCUUAUCGGGCAAGUCAAAUUUAUUUGAAUUCUUACAUUGUGGGAAGGAAACUGUCCUGACAUUACCUUGGCAGGCCAAGGAGAUGAAUAGUAGAGUUGCUGGUGCUAACUUUAUUCUGAACCAUACAGGUCAGAGUUCCUGUCACAUCACUCUUCAGUAUGACACUGUUCUGGUGGUGGUCAUAGGCUACACUCCUGGUCAGAUUCUGGCCAUUCAGGGUCCAGCUGUACUGAAGACCAUCUCCCUCUGAGGAGCAUGUGACCACGGUUUCUCCAUGAGGCAGACAGAGGUGAGACAACACUGGCUCUGACACCGGGGCUGACAGACACAAACACAAGAGAUCACUCUAAUACCCUAACUCUGAUUCAUUAAAACAUAUCUAAAGUACUGUAUGAUGUAACAAUAUACUCUCUAUGUGUUGUACUACUGCUGCCAAGUCCUACAGUACAAACCUAUUGAAGUACUGAUAUCCUGGUGACCUUUCAGAAAUAUACCUUUUCCACCAUGAAAAGGACAAAUUAAGUUUUUAUUCCUAUUCUGUACCUUGUAUCUCAAGUAGCAUGUUGACUCUGAACAACAAUUUUCCUGCUGAAUUAUAUGUUUCCAAUUGGUAAUCUCCAGAGUCUUCUUCUGUAACUCUGUCCAGUCUGAAUGUUCCAUUAUUAAAGAACUCGGAGCGAUUCACAUAAUCCUGAUGAAAUUUAGAUCUCCAGUCUUCUCCAGUUUUGAAGUGCAGAAUACGAGUAAAAGAUGUUUUCAAUGUUAUUUCUUCAUUCCUGCUGUCUGCAGCCAGCUGUAAGGACAAAGACUCUCCCAAAGCCCCAUAGCAGUGAUGAGUUCCAUUCUUGUGAGAGAGAUUACAGGCCUUGGCACUAACUGUGGAGCAAUGAUCUUAGGUCAGUAUGUUAUGAUAUGGGGACAAGGUUAGUGUAGGGACAUAGACAAAACACUAUACAGCAAACACCUCCACACUCCAUUCCCCAGGGGACAGCAAAAGGACAUUCUUGAACAUGGGAGACAUUCUUACUCAUCUGCUAGAGAACCAGUUUGGAUUUAAGAAUAACUUUUGUAUGACUAAAGCCUUUAGUGAAAGGUCUAAUGCUUUAAUAUUUAAUCAUUUCUGCACUCCAAAUUAAUAUUCAUUAUAUGAAUAGGCCUGUUUUAUUUUGUCUGGCCUGCUGUUUCAAAUAAAACUGAAUCUUCUUUUCUCAUAUAAUUAAAAGAAUAUGUCGCUAUGUGUAGACCAUAAAGGCCAUAAACAAGGUAAACUGAGAUAUGACUAAAGAGUUAGUCAAGGUGAUUCUUCCAAAAAUAGACAGGUAUUGUAUUUCUGGAUUGAAGAAAAACUGUCUUUUAAAAAGCAUAUUGACGAGUUAGUCAAGAAAUUAAGAAUUAAGUUGGGCUUCUUCUAUAGGAAUAGGGCUUGCCUUUCAUUAAAUUGUAGAAAACAGAUCAUUCAGUCUACAUUUAUUCCUGAUUUAGACUAUGGUGAUAUUAAAUACAUGAAUGCAGCUACCAGUGUUUUUGAAGCCCUUGGACACAAUUUAUCAU
rnacentral:lncRNA from 13 species